GAAAGAGUAUUACAAGACUCAGUGAAAUUGACUUAUAUUUUUCUUUGAAGGUCCUAUGCUAUGUGAAGACACUCCCGAACUCGAUCAGCAAGCAAAGCUUCCCAGUGGAGGUUUUGUACAGCAUGGCUGUGUUUAGAGGUGACAGUCUGCUGGAUGUGAAGAGACAUCGAUCGGGUGAGCUGAGAGCAGCAAGUUUUCCAAGUAUGUGGAGGUGAGCGGAGGCCAGGAGAGGCACCACCAGGUGAGCAGCCCUCCCAGAGGAGAGCCUGGCUUCCCACUCAGCACUCCCACACCCUGUCCUCGCUACAACAGUCGCAUCAACGCUUCAUCCAUUACUGUGUCCCCUGGUGUGUGUGGGGUGGUGUCAACAGAUGCCCACAGCUGAGCUGAGCAGUGUGGACUCUCAUGGAACACAACCUUUGGAAUGGGGGUUUAAAGGACAGAGGAAACGCUAUCUGGCUUAUGCAAACUGGAAGACUGGCGUACAGCGAGGUGUCCCCUUGAGAACAAAGACUCUCAGAUCUGAACAAAUGGGCAGGUCACACUCCGACGUGCCUUGUUCCUUACGUAGACUGCGUGCACAGCCGCUCUGUUUUAGGGAACCCAGCAAAGAAAAUUCAAGGAAAUGAAAAGCACCCCUCCCCGCACUCCUAUUCUUCUUAGAUAACAAAGGACAGAUAAUUAUCUAAAGUAUUUCUCAACCUGAACAAAAUGGAAAAGUGACCUUUUCUCUGUGUCUAUUCGCUGCAGUGAUGUCAGCAGCCAGGCAAUGGGCAGGCUGAGGGAAUGCUCAGAGGAGGUGGCCCUCGCUCCCCAGCCUGUCACAAAUGCCAUAAACACAGAACUACUUUAACAGGCAGCCAGACCUGGACUGCUCCCAGUCACCCCUAGGGAGUGAUAAAUGCUCUUGCUGGUAGACUUGCAUAAACUGAGACGCAAUGAAUUUUUUUAAAGAUACUCCCUGUGCUCAAUAAACUUGAAUGUUUCAAGCCUGAAGGAUGGCUAGCCCAAGAAGGAAAUUAAUCAAUCUGGCAAGAAAAACCAAUCAUUUGGAGUGCUGGUAGAUUAACCUAAAUGUAAAGGGUAUUGAAUUCAGUAAUUUAAAAAUCACAUGCUUGCUAGUUGAAAAUCCCCACUUCUAGCUUUAUGCCAUUUAUAAAAUGCACUUUGAGAGUAAGAGAGGGCAAUGGGGAUGUAUGAAUAUGAUCUGAGUAUAUUAUAUGCAUGUUUGAAAUGUCAAUAAAAAUCCAUUAUUUUACAUA